rnacentral:tRNA from 2 species
GCUCCUGUAGUUCAACGGAUCGAAUACGGGUUUGCGGAACCCGGGAUAGCAGUUCAAUUCUGCUCGGGAGCACAA